rnacentral:lncRNA from 1 species
UUUUGUGUUUAUUUAUUUUUAAGCAGGAUUAUUAUGUUUUAAGAUAUGUGGUUAGUUGGGCCCAAGCAGUUUAAACCUAUUUGGUUGUUUUAUUAGUUAUUUUAUUCUAAUUCAGACUUAAGUUCGAGUAAUAUAAUAGAUGUUCGUUGUAAAAAACCUAUUUGGCUGUGAAAGUUAUGUUUAUUCCGCUUUUUGUGUAUGAUUAAUAUUGUAACUUUGUUGGUGCCUAAAUGUUGUUAUAGAUGGGCUGUGUUGAUAUACGUUGAUGAUGCUUGGUGGGUGGUUUUCUUCAAAACUACUUUAUUUCUAGUUGUAUGUCAAUGUAUUUUGGGUAUUUGAACCUUAUUUUAUGAAUGUGAAUGUAACAUUGUUAUAGUCGGGAAGUUGUCGUGGUGAAAUAGAUUCUAUGCGUUUGUGUUACUUAAUCUUGAAUUUACUUUUUUUUUUUUAAUUGGCAGUUAUUGAUUUAUUUUUCUAUCAGACCUUGUAUUAUUUUUGGUUGGACUUUUCUGGUGACCAAUGUUAACUAAAAUUUAAAAACAUAUAUAUAUUGUAUAUAUGUUUUUUAUUAAUAUUCAAGAAUUUUGCAUGAGUGGGCUUAUUAGUCAAUCAUAAUUGAUUAAAUUACACAUGUUCACGUGGAGGUUUAAAAAAAAAUUAAAGCUGAUGUAAUUUUCUGUGAAGAAUAGCUAUUUUGCUUUAUUGAUAUAGACUUUCAUAUUCUAAAUUUUCCUUAAUCUCCAUUUACAACUUUAGAUAAUAUCUAUGGUUUUGUUGAUGGCUAAUAUUAACUCAACUAAAUUGUUUUGUUAAUUUCUAUAAAAAGUCUUAUAUGAUUAUUUAAUGUGAGGUUUUUAACCUAUAUUUA